rnacentral:tRNA from 1 species
GGGUUGUUAGCUCAGUUGGUUUAGAGCACUGCCUUGACAGGGCAGGGGUCGCUAGUUCGAAUCUAGUACAACCCA